rnacentral:rRNA from 1 species
ACGCUCGACACCUACAGGAGGCAGCAGUGGGGAAUAUUGCACAAUGGGGGAAACCCUGAUGCAGCAACGCCGCGUGAAGGAAGACGGUUUUCGGAUUGUAAACUUCUGUUCUUAGUGAAGAUAGUGACGGUAGCUAAGGAGCAAGCCACGGCUAACUACGUGCCAGCAGCCGUGGUAAUCUGAGCGGGCUGGCAAGGC